UGAUCACCUCAAAUAGAGCCACUCAUGAUUACUGGCUUCAUAAGUGCUUCUCUUUGGGGUUGUCU
rnacentral:pre_miRNA from 1 species